UGUUACCUUAGUGGCUUGCCUUGAAGUCUGUUUCUGCAGUUGGACAUGAAUUUACUUGUUCUGCUGAGUAUUCUAAGUCCAGCUCUAAUGAUAUCUGGGUUGAGCUAACAUUUCAAAUGAGUUGCCUGUGAACUGCUGUAUACAAAACUAUCAAUAGACUUGGCAGUUUUCUUCCCUGAUCACUUUGUCUCCAGAAAAAACUUUCAGGUCACCCCAACAUUGUCCAGUUCUGCUCUGCUGCAUCUAUAGGGAAAGAAGAAUCAGACACAGGACAAGGAGAGUUUCUUCUGCUUACAGAAUUGUGUAAAGGACAACUGGUGGAAUUCUUAAAGAAAGUGGAACCCAAAGGGCCAAUCUCCUGUGACACAGUUCUGAAGAUCUUUUAUCAGACCUGCCGAGCAGUGCAGCAUAUGCAUAAACAGAAGCCACCUAUUAUCCAUAGAGAUUUAAAGGUGGAGAACUUGCUUAUAAGUAACCAAGGGACAAUUAAACUUUGUGACUUUGGUAGUGCUACAACGAUGGCUUACUAUCCUGACUACAGCUGGUCUGCACAAAAGAGAGCACUGGUUGAAGAAGAGGUAAGAAUAUCUUAUAGUUGUUAAUGUUGAUAGUAGACUUCAUUUUCUGUUAGUAAUCUGCUAUUAGUUUGUGUGACUUGUAAGACAAGUGAAGAUUCUUGUAGGGCUAUUCAUGUUGCUGGAGUUCAUUUUAACUGGCUUGCAGUUAACACUACUUGUUUUCUCUAGCUGCUUGUAAGCACUGCUUCAGCUCGAGUAGUGUCCAUUCUGUGAUCUGAUAGGGGAAGACCAGAUUAGAAGAGCUUCUCCUAAUUGCAGUCAAAACAGGGAGUUGAAAAUUGUCUGUUCCUUAAGAGCAGGUAGUAUUGAUCUUCUUCCAAGUACUGCAGUGAUGAUGUUAACCAUGCAUUUGUUUUUCUGGAAUGCACUUGUUCUUAGUUUUGAGGUGAGAGUAAUGCUGGUAAAUCUAAUAUAAUCCAUCAACUGGUCUUAGACUUUAAAUAUGAUGAAAUACACUGGCAUUUAAAAUUCAUGAAUACAACCUCUGAUAUCAUGCCUCUUUAACCUUCCACUGUUUUGGAGACCUUUGCCAUUAUAGAGUAAUCCAUUGGUUUCCAGAGAAGGAAAGGUAAUUAUGUACCAUUAUAUAGUGUAGGCAA